GAUGAACGCUGGCGGCGUGCUUAACACAUGCAAGUCGAACGAGAAGUGAAGACGGAAACCUUCGGGCGGAAGGCUUUAUUUCGAGUGGCGGACGGGUGAGUAACGCGUGGGUAACCUGCCUCAUACAGGGGGAUAACAGUUGGAAACGACUGUUAAUACCGCAUAAGACCACAGCACCGCAUGGUGCGGGGGUAAAAACUCCGGUGGUAUGAGAUGGACCCGCGUUCGAUUAGCCAGUUGGCGGGGUAACGGCCCACCAAAGCGACGAUCGAUAGCCGAUCUGAGAGGAUGACCGGCCACAUUGGGACUGAGACACGGCCCAAACCCCUACGGGAGGCAGCAGUGGGGAAUAUUGCACAAUGGGGGAAACCCUGAUGCAGCGACGCCGCGUGAGUGAAGAAGUAUUUCGGUAUGUAAAGCUCUAUCAGCAGGGAAGAAAAUGACGGUACCUGAGUAAGAAGCCCCGGCUAACUACGUG
rnacentral:rRNA from 1 species